rnacentral:rRNA from 1 species
AACAAGGUUUCCGUAGGUGAACCUGCGGAAGGAUCAUUAUUGAAUAAUUCUUGAUGGGUUGUUGCUGGCCUCUUGAGGCAUAUGUGCACACCUGUCUUGGACUCUUCUUACUAUUCAUCCACCCUGUGCACUUCUUGUGGUCUUCUUUCAAGGUCGAAGUGGGCUUGGUCUUUCUAGGCUCUAUGAGGUCUUGAGGAGGGGCAUGUUUGCUUUUGUCAUAGACGAGUAUAGCAGGAAUGUCUUCUAACGGGCAACCUAUGCCUGUGAUUUAAUAUCAUACAACUUUCAGCAACGGAUCUCUUGGCUCUCGCAUCGAUGAAGAACGCAGCGAAAUGCGAUAAGUAAUGUGAAUUGCAGAAUUCAGUGAAUCAUCGAAUCUUUGAACGCACCUUGCACUCCUUGGUAUUCCGAGGAGCAUGCCUGUUUGAGUGUCAGUUGUUUUUCAACCUACCUAUGUUUCUUGCUGGGUGAGGCUUGGAUGUGGAGGAAAAUAUGUGCAGGCCUUUAUGACUAUGUCAUGGGUCGGCUCCUCUGAAAUGCAUUAGCGGAGCUGCUUGCAACCUUGCUAUAGGCGUGAUAAAUAAUUUCUGUGCCAAGUGGGGUUUGCCUUGUUGUGGUUUGGCUUCCAACUCGGUCUGUGAAGACCCUUAACUGAAUAUCUUGACCUCAAAUCAGGUGGGACUACCCGCUGAACUUAAGCAUAUCA